CUGGAAAGAUAACGGUGGUUGUUUAUCCACUUUGGAAGUGGGAGGUCGCAAGUUCGAAUCUUGCUUUCCAGAC
rnacentral:tRNA from 1 species